AUGAAUGUCUUAAGUUGGAACUGCUGAGGGGCGGGGAACCCUCGGACAGUUCGUGAUCUUGUGAGUCUUGUUCAGACUCACUCCCCUAGCAUUGUUUUUCUUUGUGAAACUCGACAGUCCAAGAAUAAAAUGAGUAGGUAUCGUGCUCGCUUAGGUUUAAAGGGUUUUGAUGCUUUUGAUAGUGUUGGUCUUAGUGGAGGUCUUGCUUUGUAUUGGCAUGAGGCGGUGUGUGUGGAUGUAAAAACAAUAAAUGAAAGAUAUAUCGAUGCGUAUGUGACGAGUGUGGCGGGCGAGCCGCCUUGGAGGCUCACUUGCAUCUACGGCGAGCCCCGUACGGAGGACCGACAUCGCAUGUGGUCCAUCCUCCGUGAUCUGCACCGACAAGCCAACAUGCCAUGGGCAGUGGUUGGCGAUUUCAACGAGGCCAUGUGGGGCUUCGAACACUUUUCUGCUACACCAAGAUCGGCAGGUCAGAUGAUCGACUUCCGUGAUGUGCUUGAAGUAUGUGGCUUGGGUGAUCUUGGUUUUGCAGGGCUCCCGUAUACAUAUGAUAACCGGCGAGGUGGGCGGGCAAAUGUCAAGGUACGCCUAGACCGGGCCGUGGCAAAUAACUCCUAG
rnacentral:rRNA from 1 species